rnacentral:rRNA from 1 species
GAUGAACGCUGGCGGCGUGCCUAAUACAUGCAAGUCGAGCGAACGGACGAGAAGCUUGCUUCUCUGAUGUUAGCGGCGGACGGGUGAGUAACACGUGGAUAACCUACCUAUAAGACUGGGAUAACUUCGGGAAACCGGAGCUAAUAUCGGAUAAUAUUUUGAACCGCAUGGUUCAAAAGUGAAAGACGGUCUUGCUGUCACUUAUGGAUGGAUCCGCGCUGCAUUAGCUGGUUGGUAAGGUAACGGCUUACCAAGGGAACGAUGCAUAGCCGACUGGGGAGGGUGACCGGCACAACGGGAAUGGGAACACGGUCCAGACUCCUCGGGGAGGAGCCAUGAGGGAAUCUCCCGAAAUGGGCGAAGGCCUGACGGAGCAAGGCGGCGUGAGUGAUGAAGGUCUUCGGAUCGAAAAAUUCUGUUAUUAGGGAGGAAGAUAUGUGUGAGAAUAGGGGCAAAUCUUGACGGUACCUAAACAGAAAGCCACGGCUAACUACGUG